rnacentral:misc_RNA from 1 species
GAUGAAGAACGUAGCGAAAUGCGAUAAGUAGUGUGAAUUGCAGAAUUCCGUGAAUCAUCGAAUCUUUGAACGCACAUUGCGCCUUCUGGUAUUCCGGAAGGCAUGCCUGUUCGGGAGUCAUUAACAACCGUUUCGAUCCCUUUCUUUCAGAAAUUACAAAGAGGAAAAGGGUUUGGUUAUGGUGGAGGAGGGAAAGGGAGCGUUUAGCCUGUAAAAAAAGAGGCUGUGUUCCGCCUCCCCCCCAAAAUUGUACAGGCGGUCGUGUGCGCCCACGCAUCGAGGUGUUGUAAAAGCUGCCACGGCACUUUUCACCUGUGCAGUGCGAGAUUGGCCAGCCGGUUUAAAAACCCCUCCAAACAAUCAAAGGUUGACCUCGGAUCAGGUAGGGAUACCCGCUGAACUUAAGCAUAUCAAUAAGCGGAGGA